ensembl:snoRNA LOC120102698 small nucleolar RNA SNORA17
CCUGCCUCUAGAAGCUUUUCAGGUGUGGCUGCUGUGUCACUGUGCUUCUGAAGGUGGCAGAGAGGAGAGUCUAUGCUCAGUGUUCUGACCUGUCUGAAUGAUUAACAGAUUAACAAU